rnacentral:lncRNA from 1 species
CAGGCCACAGCUGUCGCUGGCAUCUCAGUCUCACACAGAGGACAAUGCCCUGUGAAGGAAGAUCGCUGCAGAGGCUGGGGAUGUCGCUGUGUGAAGCCCUCUUCCACUUCUGAGGACCCAGCACAAACCAAACGGACAAGACCAUUUGAACUCGGAGCAUCUGCCCUUAAGAGUUGAGUGUCCACAGCCUGGAGUGGGAAGUGGGGUCAGGAAGGCCAGACAGUAAUCUCAGUCUCUCUGUACCCCCGCCCCCACGAUGUGUGUCUGCCUGUCUGUCCGUCCUCUCGUGCCUGGAUCUGCGCAGGCCACCCGCAGUCACAGCACACAGAGGAGAUACGUUAUCCUUGGUGACAGUAGCCAUCAGCCACACUCUAGAAUGGCAGCGACUUCUACAGAGACAUGGACUCCAUCACCCGGCACGCAAGGCAGACUGGUCAUGUCUUGGAUGGAUGCUGGAACCAUCGGAUCCUGUAACCCGCUUCUCCACCUCCAGUACAGACGUCAGGACUUGAGGCUCCCUCCGUCUGCUCUCUUCUGCACUGCACUUGAAUUUCCCUGAGGUUUGGCAUUUGGGGUUUUUGUUUGGCUUGUUUCUUUGCUUGCCUAGAGGAAUAAUCAAUGCUUAGGCUUUUAAUAGCAAAGGCAUUUAGUGGGUCAACCAAGCACUCAGGAGAUAGACAGGAGGGUCAGAAUUCAAGGUCAUCCUUUGCUACACAAUGAGUUCAGGGUCAGCCUGGGCUACACGAGAUCCAAUCUAAAAUAAACAAAAAAUAAAAUAAUUGAUAUUUCUUCUCUGUAUAUUAUAGUUAUACUGUAGACUGUUGGGGAUACAUUCUCCAAGAGUCUCAAAGUUCAUCUCCACUGAGUUAAUUAAUGUUGUUACUAUAACACAACACUAGAGUCUGGUUCGUUUACAAAUACAAAAGAUUUAUUUUGGGCUGGAGAGAUGGCUCAGAGCUGACUGCUCUUCCAAAGGUCCUGAGUUCCAAUCCCAGCAACCACAUGGUGGCUCGAAACCAUCUGUAAUGGGAUCUGAUGCCUUCUUCUAGUGUGUCUGAAGACAGCUAUGGUGUACUCACAUACAUAAAAUAAAUAAAUAAAUCUUAAGAGAGAGAUUUGUUUCUACAAAGGCUAGAUGCUACUGAGAGUAAAGGGUUUAGAACUCCGUUUUCCUCUUCUUACUAACUCACUAAUCCCAUCUUGGGGGGGGGAGGGGGAAGCUUCAUGACUUCACCUAACCUCGUUCACCUCUCCUAGACCUUACCUCCUAUCGCUACCAAUCUCUGAUUUGGGGAUCAAAUUUUCAACCCAGGAGCUUUAGGGAGACAAAUGUAAACCCCAGUAUCCCCUGACUCCCGGUGUACACUGGAUCCUGCACACAGUAGGGCUCCAAUAAAUACUGAAAGUCCUUAGAAUGGGGGCAAAAUCAUUUUUGUGUUUAUAAAUAUGACCCACAUGUUCUCUCAUCUUUUAAAAUUGUCAGAGUAAUUUCUCUCUCUCUCUCUCUCUCUCUCUCUGUGUGUGUGUGUGUGUCUGUGUCUGUGUGUGUGUCUGUGUCUGUGUCUGUGUGUCUGUGUGUGUGUACUCACAUCCAAGUGGGUUUGGGUACCUGUCAUGUGGACAUGUAUAUGUUGGUAGAAGCCAGAAGUCAACCUUGUGUGUCAUUUCUCAGAGGUGAUCCAUCUUAUUUUUUGAGACAGGGUCUCUCACUGAGGCCGGGGACUUACUGUUUUUAGGUUACACCUGCUGGCCAGCAAGCCAGAGAGACCGAGAGAGACGGUCUGUCUCCAUCUCUCCAGCGACAGGCUUUCAGACCCACACCACCAUGCCCAGCUUUGAUGUGGGUCUGGGUUUUGAGGAGUAGAAUUCAGGACCUCUUGCUGAGCCAUCUCCCCAGCCACUGAACAUAAUUCAUAUAUAAUCUGGCUUUUGUUCCUUUUGUGGGUGCAGGGUGUGUUUUGUUUUGUUCUUUGCUGUGUAUUAUUCUGUGCAUUUAAGCUUUAUUUUUUUGUGACUACCUGGGAGGGACACUGAACAGCCAGAAAGGCCAGGCCGAGGCUUCACUGAUGGGGAUGUGAGCCCGGGAAUGCUGGCAGCUGCCGGGAGCUGGAAAGGGCAAAGGAAAGGACUGUCUCCGCAUCCACGGUGGACGCAGCCCUCUGCCCGAUUUCUAUUUCUGGCCACCAGCUCUGCCAGGUAGCGAGCUUGGCUGCUCUGAGCUGCCUGGGUUUGCCGUUGUAUUUUCCUACUAGCAUGGGAAAGCGUGAUCAGCUUGCUUUGUUCUCAAUUGUUCCAGAAGCUCUGCCGGUCCCCUCCAGGACUCCUGAGUCUCUGCUCCGUGGUACUCGGGGCUGGCUCUCAAAGUUCUAGGCUGCAGAAAUCUCACAAGCGCAUGAGCUUAGAGUCCCAGGGUGGAUGUCCACCAAGAGCCCAGGGACAAAGCAUUGACAGCUCCUGUGUGCGCCACGUCUCCCCCCACCCCCACCCCUACCCCCAGGAACUGUGAGAGGAGUGCAGAGCCCCUCCCCCAGGCCUUUCCAACAAGGACUCCUGGAGGACCCUUGGGUUUUUAACACCAAAUCACCAAAUGUUUCCCACGCAGCAACACAAACCAGCUCUUCCUCAUACAGCACGGUGGGCCAGUGGACCAUGGGGACAGGUUACCUCUGUGGGCCCAGGCUCACGGUAAACUCUAACCUCAAUCUGUAGCCUCCCACAGCCAUUUGCGGGUCACCUUGCUUCUCAGCCACCGUGUGGCACUUGGCAAGUCACGUGUGCCUCAACACAAUAAGAAGCCAAGGGAAUAGGGGCUUUGCUUAACUGGUACAGCAGUGUAGCCCAAGCUAGCCUUGAACUCACUAUGUAGCCAAGGACGAUCAUAAACUCUUGAUCCUCCCGCUUCAGAGUCCUGGGUGUUGAGAUAACAGGUGUGGGUCACUCCCUACCCUUCUUCUAAUAGCAAUCAAUGUGUGGCCACAUGUUUGUGCCUCACAGAUUAAAACCAUCUUGACCUGAGGACGAAAUGACUAACAGUUGCCUCCUGAAGGUUGCCUGGAUCUCAUCUUUAUAAUCCCAGCAAUCAAGGGGAGUGGGGGAUCAGGAGUUCAAAGUCAGCCCAGCCUGGGCUACAUGAGACCCUGUCUUGAAAAAUGGAGGAAUUAAGCUGGGCGUGGUGCCGCACUCCUUUAAUCCCAGCACU